UUUCAGAUGCUCUACAAAUGCAUCCAAAUCUUCAAUCCCCAAGAAACUGAAGUCAGAGCACUCAGACAUAAUCUGCUGAACUUUGCUCUCGAGCUGAAGAGCACAAUCUUUCAGUAAUUGGUCUGAAUCUGAAGGGUGCAUUUCGGAGACAAUAUCAUCAUUGCAAUUUUGAAUUUCUUCGAGCUCUCUUAUACCACUGCGAAUGGUGUCGAGAUCAAGAGGUACUGAAGAGGGAACGAUUUCCAUCUCUGGCGAAAUCCAAUCUCGCGCUCAAGCUAUA
rnacentral:misc_RNA from 1 species